GGGUGGCCCACAUGGCACCCCGGAGGUGACGCCGGCGCUCCGGGUCUGCCGUCCCAGAGGGGGUCCCGCAGCACCAGCCAAGAGGCUAUCUGGCUGCUCUCAGGAUAGAAAUCCAAGGUGGAUUUGCAAUUCAAAAGGGGCCUUGCGGGACCAUCGUACCUUAACUCCAAAAAUGACUACAUGGGGGCUUCUCACGGACAUCUGACACUUUCAUCGCUCUGGGCCACUGAGAUACACCAGUAGAUCCCAGCCUCAACCAGAAAUCGCAGCAUAGUAUGGUUUCCUGCCAGACUCACAACAGCGGGAGAGAGACUGUCCAGACCUGCCAGUGGAAGCAUCUUGUGGGCCAGACAGGCUUCUCCGCAAAAUAGGAAGAUAGCACUCUGGUUUUUAUAUCAGUGCUUGACUUCUCUCCAGUGAAGAGUCCAUCUUCCUUGGUUGCACAACUCCUGGGGAGGGGAUUUUUGACAGCUGACUUCUUUUGGGAGGCUCUGCUUUUAGAUCCGGGGAGUUCAGGAAAAACAACUCCUCACGAACACUUGUGCUAAAGACCUCUGGUAAGGAUGCAGCUGGGAGCGCGUGCUGGGUCUGGGAUACCUACACCUUCAGCUUACCCAGUGUUGCCAUUCGCUUUCCAGAGAAUAACCCCGACCAGUGGAGCCCAGGUGGACACCAGCCCUAAUUAUCGUCUUUCUGACAAAGACUGCUGGAAGCUCAAAAUGCUUGACAAGAGGUGCCAGGAGGCAGAGGGACAAGCCAGCCACAGAGGAAGUCACCCAGAAACCCAGGGAGGUGAAACCCCUUCUCAAGGGCUUGGUUUCAAAAAACAAAUGUUUUGGGGCGCCUGGGUGGCUCAGUUGUUAAGCGUCUG